AUCAACGCUGGCGGCGUGCCUAACACAUGCAAGUCGUACGAGAAAGUGGAGCAAUCCAUGAGUAAAGUGGCGACCGGGUGAGUAACACGUGACUACCUACCUUCUAGUGGGGGAUAACUCCGGGAAACCGGAGCUAAUACCGCAUAACAUCGCAAGAUCAAAGCAGCAAUGCGCUGGAAGAGGGGGUCGCGCCUGAUUAGCUAGUUGGUAAGGUAACGGCUUACCAAGGCGAAGAUCAGUAGCCGGCCUGAGAGGGCGCACGGCCACACUGGAACUGAAACACGGUCCAGACUCCUACGGGAGGCAGCAGCGGGGAAUUUUGCGCAAUGGGGGAAACCCUGACGCAGCAACGCCGCGUGGAGGAUGAAGUCCUUUGGGACGUAAACUCCUUUCGACCAAGACGAUGAUGACGGUACUGGUGGAAGAAGCACCGGCUAACUCUGUGCCAGCAGCCGCGGUAAUACAGAGGGUGCGAGCGUUGUUCGGAAUUAUUGGGCGUAAAGGGCGCGUAGGCGGCGCCACAAGUCACCUGUGAAAUCUCCCGGCUCAACUGGGAGCUUGCAGGCGAAACUGUGGUGCUGGAGUAUGGGAGAGGUGCGUGGAAUUCCCGGUGUAGCGGUGAAAUGCGUAGAUAUCGGGAGGAACACCUGUGGCGAAAGCGGCGCACUGGACCAUAACUGACGCUGAGGCGCGAAAGCUAGGGGAGCAAACAGGAUUAGAUACCCUGGUAGUCCUAGCCCUAAACUAUGGAUGCUUGGUGUAGCAGGUACCCAAUCCUGCCGUGCCGAAGCUAACGCGAUAAGCAUCCCGCCUGGGGAGUACGGUCGCAAGACUGAAACUCAAAGGAAUUGACGGGGGCCCGCACAAGCGGUGGAGCAUGUGGUUCAAUUCGACGCAACGCGAAGAACCUUACCUGGGCUCGAAAUGUAGGAGACUGGGGUAGAAAUAUCCCUUUCCGCAAGGACCCCUAUAUAGGUGCUGCAUGGCUGUCGUCAGCUCGUGUCGUGAGAUGUUGGGUUAAGUCCCGCAACGAGCGCAACCCUUAUCUCUAGUUGCCAUCGGGUCAAGCCGGGCACUCUAGCGAAACCGCGUAGGAUAACUACGAGGAAGGUGGGGAUGACGUCAAGUCCUCAUGGCCUUUAUGUCCAGGGCUACACACGUGCUACAAUGGUCGGUACAAAACGUCGCAAACCCGUGAGGGGGAGCUAAUCGGAAAAAGCCGGCCUCAGUUCGGAUUGGAGUCUGCAAUUCGACUCCAUGAAGCUGGAAUCGCUAGUAAUCGCAGAUCGGAACGCUGCGGUGAAUACGUUCCCGGGCCUUGUACACACCGCCCGUCACAUCACGAAAGUGGACUGCACUAGAAGUCGGCGUGCUAACCGCAAGGAGGCAGCCGCCCAAGGUAUGGUUCAUGAUUGGGGUG
rnacentral:rRNA from 1 species